GACGAACGCUGGCGGCGUGUUUAACACAUGCAAGUCGAACGGUGAAGCCCUUCGGGGUGGAUCAGUGGCGAACGGGUGAGUAACACGUGAGCAAUCUGCCCUUGACUCUGGGAUAACUUCGGGAAACCGGAGCUAAUACCGGAUAUGACAUACGGCCGCAUGGUCUGUGUGUGGAAAGAUUUAUUGGUCAGGGAUGAGCUCGCGGCCUAUCAGCUUGUUGGGGGGUAAUGGCCUACCAAGGCGACGACGGGUAGCCGGCCUGAGAGGGUGACCGGCCACACUGGGACUGAGACACGGCCCAGACUCCUACGGGAGGCAGCAGUGGGGAAUAUUGGACAAUGGGCGAAAGCCUGAUCCAGCAACGCCGCGUG
rnacentral:rRNA from 1 species